CUGAUCCAUUUCUGUGGGGAGAGUGGCUGGCACCAGGGGGACCUUCUCUACAUGGAGAGGUCAAGGAGGAGAUCAAACUCCAUGCUAACUGAGGUCUCUGAAAGGAAGUGGAAAGAGAACAGCCAGCUGAGGGAUGCCAUAUAGUCUUGCAGUUGACGAUCUUGCUUUCUACUUUGCUAAGAACAUGGAAGCCAUGAGAAAACAUCCACAUCGUCCAGCCAUCAGCCACUGGCCCUUACUACACCUGCAUCCACAAACUCUACUUUCCCCCAAUGAGCCAGUGUUUCCAGUGGUAUGUGAGGUCCAAUCCCCUCACAUACCCAAGGUCAUCGGUCCAGCAAUUUUCAUCUUCACUUGUUCUCUCUCUACGGGAUCAGCCCCAUCAAAUGGAAACAUGCCACUAUUCCUCCCAUCCAUUAAAACAAAAACAGAAA
rnacentral:lncRNA from 1 species